rnacentral:rRNA from 1 species
AAUGAACGCUGGCGGCAGGCCUAACACAUGCAAGUCGAGCGGAUGAGGGGUGCUUGCGCGGGGAUUCAGCGGGGGACGGGUGAGUGAUGCCUGUGAGUCUGCCUGGUUGUGGGGGAGAACGUCUGGAGGCGGGCGCUAAUACUGCAUGCGUCGUGCGGCAGCAGGUGGGGGAGCGUUGGACAUUUUGCUCGGAUGGGAGCGUAGGCGGGGUUAGCUAGUUGGUGGGGUGAGGGCCUACCUAGGCGACGAUCCGUAACUGGUCUGAGAGACGGAUCAGUCACGUGGGAACUGAGACACCGACCAGACUCCUACGGGAGGCAGCAGUGGGGAAUAUUGGACAGUGGGCGAGAGCAUGAUACAGCCAUGCCGCGUGUGUUAAGAAGGUCUUCGGAUUGUAAAGAACUUUAAGUUGGGAGGAAGCGCAGUAAGUUAAUACCUUGCUGUUUUGACGUUAACAACAGAAUAAGCACCGGCUAACUUCGUG